UGCACAGUAGAGUGAAAAGCCGACUUCUCUGUUAGAGUUUGGAUUUUCACUCUACUGCGCAUGCGCGCGCAAGCAAAGCAGGAAGGAAGAAUCGCGUCGCUGCAGCUACUCCAGGCUGGUGCUGUUCUCUCCGAACAGGGGCACCAGCCCGGGGUAAAAGGUAAGCGAUUAAAGUCACUUGGGGGUGCCUAACAUUUUGGCACCCCCAAGUGACUUUGCCUUUCCUUCUCCUUUAAAACCUAAUAAAGGAAAUGUUUGGGGUUAUGGUCAAUGCACUUAUGUUUGUAAAUGAGCCUCUGAAAGGGAUCCUAUUCACUCAGCUUGUUUAUUGCUGCCACAGGAAUUAGCCACUGACCAUCCCAGUGUGUGUAGUGUUCCUACAGGAGUUGGGCAAGCCUAGCCAGCCAUGCAGGGUUUAAUAUUGAAUAACAAAGGUCCUAAUAGAUAUAAAGUAUUUAUAGAGUCAACCAACAGGGUUACAGUAUGUCCCAGAGUGGACAAUAUUUUCACCUCCUCAGAUUAUCUGUAGUGUUUCUUGGCUUAAAGGAGAACUCAAGCCUGAAUAAUAUAGCUAUAAAUUCUUUGUCUUUUAUACUGAAUUUAUUGCGCCUGCCCAGAGGUUAACAGCCCUGUUAACAGCCACUAAUGAUUCAGGUCUUCCAAGUUGUCCUCAGGAGCUUGCCAUCUUCUGAUCUAGUUAUCCUAAAUUUUGAGUGUCAGUGGCUCUUGGCUGCUACUGAGAAGCUAUGACAGGUUACAGGCUGCUACUGAGAAGCUAUGACAGGUUACAGGCUGCUACUGAGAAGCUAUGACAGGUUACAGGCUGCUACUGAGAAGCUAUGACAGGUUACAGGCUGCUACUGAGAAGCUAUGACAGGUUACAGGCUGCUACUGAGAAGCUAUGACAGGUGAGAUUACACACAGAGAGCUGAUUAUUAUGCACUGGUUUCUAUGCUGCCAUGUAAUGUAAAUCUGAGUUAAUUACUUGGCUUUUUAUCAUGAAUAUGUUUUGUACAUCUACUGUAUAUUGUGAGUUGACCCCAUAGUUGGAGCAUAUGCUGUGAAUUAGAAGCAGAUGGGAAGCUACACAGGACAUUUUGGAGGCACAGAUCUUCAUUGCUAAAGGGCUGUGGAUGCUUGUGCAGGUACAGGAACCUAGAUGAUUGGACACUUGCCCAAUAACCCAUAGCACCCAAUGAAUAAGCAGCAUAUAUUGGUCUGCUGUCUGCCUUUGUGAGAUUAACAAUCAUAAUAAAAAAAUAUGUAUAGUCAUGUCAUAUUUUCUUUUGAUUUGUUCAUAAUUCAUUUUUUAGGAAAACUGACAAAAUAAUCUUAUCUGUCUUUCAUGCAACUCUAUAGAGUUUGACGUGUUUCUCUUUUAUAUAUAAUGCUUUUGAUCAUAGAAUGUUGGGAAUUGUAAUAACAAUAGUAAGAGUGACAUUUUGGCCUCAUUUUGGGCUAAGAAACACUAAUGUUUAUAAUGUAUGUACAUUUCUUUUCCCCAAGAUAUGUGCUCUUUCCAGAAAAGUCUGUUUUUCUUUUGCAGUGUGACUGUUUUUUGGAAUUUUUACAAAUCUUAAAGGAGAACUAAAGCUAACCAACGAAUAUGGCUAGAAAUGCUGUAUUGAUAUACUGAACUUACUGUACUAGCCCUAUAACAGAGAAGUUGUGCGUAUGAGUUCACGAUCUUGCAUCUUGCUAACCUUAAUGGUUGUUGCAAAUCAUCAAGUACAAAAUUAUGUUCAUCUGUCAUAGAAGGGAAGCUACAGGGUUGAUUAUUACAUUUUGAUGCAAAAUGCACUGGUUUCUAAGCUGCCAUGAAACCAGACAUGAGUUGAAUUACUAAUGAGCCUUGUAUAGUGAAUAUUCGUACUUCUAUUGUGAGUUGGUCCCUAAGCUCAGAUAACUGACAGCUGCCCAGAGCAUGUGACUAUAGGGAGCUACUGGGGGCAUAUUUGGGGGCACAGGCUUUCACUGCUAAAGGAUUGGUAAAGAACCUCAAAAUGUAAUGUGUAGCAUUUCUACUUGUUUAGCUUUAGUUCAUCUUGAAACUCAUAUUAAUCCUUUACAGGGGGUUAAUUGACACUGUGCCUUACAAUUGUAAAUGUUUUCUAUGUGGAGGAAUUUAUAUAAAUAUUUAUGACAUUGAAUAUGUGACUGACAAUAAAUCAAUGUUUGGCUCUAA